ensembl:lncRNA
GAAAGUUAAAAAAAGCUAGCUGUGAUACAUAGAUAUUAGAAUCCAAGUUAACUGAACAUUUAACACUGAUAAAUAAGGUUUAAGUACCCAAAACAAUUUUUUAAAAAGUGCAUGAGUUAAGGAUAGGAUGCUGUAGGCAGAAAGAUCAAAGAAACUAAAUUCUGAGCUCACUAUCAAGAUAGAUAGUGUGGUGUGGUUGAAAGUCCAUGGAACUGGAAAAAGAAGACACGGUAUCUCAGCUUUCCUGUGCAUUAGGUUAAGUGAUUGCUAAGUCUCUGUCUUCCAGGCCGGCCACUGUCACGCCUGUAAUUUAGGAGGCUGAAGUAGGCGGAUCACCUGAAGUCAGGAUUUUGAGGUCAUCCUGGCCAACGUGGUGAAACCCUGUCUCUACUAAAAAUACAAAAAUUAGCUGGGCAUGGUGGCAGGCACCUGUAAUCCCAGCUAUUCAGGAGGCUGAAGCAGGAGAAUCGCUUGAACCAGGGAGGAAGAGGUUUCAGUGAACCAAGAUCACACCAUCGCACUCCAGCUUGGAUGACAAAAGCAAAAAUGCUAAAUAGGGUUGUUCUAGAAAUUGAAUGAAUUGACACGUGUUGUGUGAGUUAGGAUUCUUAGUUGCAAGCAACAGAAUUCAGUUUGGACCAACUUAGGCUAAAAACUAAUUGACUUGAAAAUGGGUAAUUUAUAGUGUUACUCACUGAAAAUGAAUAAUUUACAGUGUCCAUCAGGACUGGUGGAGUGAGAUUAGAGCCUAUGUAUUUGGAAACACCUAAAAUUGGAUAAGAGAUCUGGUCUAGGGGUGAUGAUGCACAUGGAAUCUGCCUUUCUCUCAGUCCUAGAACACUAGACACUGCUGCUGGAACUCCCCCUCCGCCGCCUCGGGAAAUUGGACCUGGCUGCUAACAUCCUUGCUGAAAUGGAAUCUGUGAGGUAUCUGCUCCUUCAUGCCACUGGCUUCCAAAGGAGGUGGCUCUGAUGACAAUAUCUAAGUCACAUGGCAGGCCCUACCUUCAAGGGAGUCUAUGAAAGUAUGUCUGGACUCAGGCUUGUUGCUCUUCAUUUUGUGACCCUGCUCUUUUGCUGGGAAACCAAGCCAUUGAACUCCUCACUAAACCAACACAAACAGAUGAAGUUAGAAGGCUGGAAGCUCUCCCUCAGCUCCAGGACUUUCUUCUUGUUUUCUUUCGGCAUUUGUGGAAUGUAAAGUUGAUCACAUGAACCAAAAUACAUCUGCUUACCUGUCUUCCUAUGCUCAAGUGAACACCUUGUUCAUGCCUGUGAAACAUUACAAUCAAACUAGAGGGGAAACAAAGCUCCACAGCUCUGCACUCAGGUUAGCUUUAACCUGAGCUCUUAAGGUAACGAGAUGUGUGAAUGGGGCCACAGUGCUUAAACUCAUGCUGCUUCCUUUUGCAUUGUGUCCUUUGCAAGGACCAGAGAGCUCCUCAAACUUACCAGGAAGUGUUGAGGAAUUUAGCAUUGCAGGCACUAACAGAUUCUUAGGAGGAAAUUAGAAGGGGUGAGUAAAUUGCUUACUAGUGAGUCAUCAGUUUCAAAAACACACCUUAUUUAUGAAACUUAUUGGACAUACUAUGACUUCCUUCUAUUAAACACAGAAUUAAAAGAUCAUUAAAUGCAUUCAUUUGUUUGGAUUCGGAUUUUCUCCAAAAUCAAUACACUCAUGGAAUCAUUGAGGUCUACUGGUUGCCUUACCUAUUAGUGUCUGCGAAAUUGUUUUUGGUCUAAUGAGACACUGUAGGGUUUCCUUUGGUUCUCAGGGCCAUAUCUUGGCCCCUAGGAAGGUAUUGGGCUUCAAUGACACAAUGAACCGAAAGUGGGGAGCAAAACUUCCAUCUCAGCUUCAAGCCCUCACCAACUGAAACUCCACACUAGUUAGUCAUUUUGUCUGACCUUUAGCUGCUUCCACCCAAUUCCAGGGCCACAUUCUUGCCCAAGUGAUUAACAGAUUAUUAAUUCCAUUUUAUAAACACAUUUCUACUAAGAUGCCAGUGAAUUACUUCACUUGCAAUUUAAUAUAGACAAUAGGAAAGGGGUGGUACUGAACUGAAAAGAUGGCAUCUCUUAUUUUAAAACUUUAGACAUUGAACCUGCUGAGUAAGAGUAUGUAUUUCUGGAAGUCCUUGCCCUUUUGGAAUGGAAAUUUGGUCUACAGUUAUAAUUGGUGGACUGUGAAACAGGCAAAACUGCAGAAAACAAGCAAAAGGAGAGUGGAAUUAACUUGACUAAAUUAUGAGAUUAGUUUUCUUCCACCAGGUUGAUGGGGGACAAAGGAACAAUUGCUGAAGCUUGAGCUUAUCUGACAGUUGAGAUUUGUCAGGUAAGCUCCAUUCUCCUGAUGACUUUUUUAAUGGGCUAGACCCAGAUCCAAUCACGAUGAGUAUAAUAUGGAUCAGUGGUCCAGCUGGUAUGGAAGACAAGAGGGUCAUACUGGGAUUCGGUCUGCAUGGCACUAAAGGUCUUCAACAUGCAAUUAGAAGCUCAAAUGUUGAAGGGGAAUAUUGUUCACUCUAAAAAAUAUGUUUCUAUUAGAAUUUACCUACUCUUUCAUGAACAUAGAUGCUUCCUCUUUUCUUGUUGUGAGAACAAUGUACUUGACUAGCUUCCCCUUUUAUUUAACUGUUAGGAAGUUCUGUCCCUAGAGAUAAGUUUCAAAUUUAUGAAACAAUAAUCUCAAGGAGUAUUAUGUGCAUUACUUUUCUUAACUGAGUCUUUAGUUUUAUAGUUUCCCUUUUUAUAAUGAUUUUUACAUUUUUCUUCUCAUACUAUAUUGUUUUGUGCAUUUGCAUUGUAAGCCAGCUCAAAUCAUUUGUAAAAUGCGGAGUGCUCCAAGGAAACAAAAGAAAAUUAAUAAAUUGAUUGAAUUCAGAGAUAUCCUUUGCUUUCUUUUUGGUGGGAUUUUUGAGAAUUAACAUAUUAUUAUCCCCUUCAUUAUUCCAUAACAGAAUGACGAAUUGCUAAUUUAGACAUGGUUGUUAGUAUCUCAUUACUUUGACCAAAAGUAAUUUAUGACCCAC